UCUUUAAUUUUUCAAACUGUCACCAACAGUGUGUUAUAUUGCAAAAGUGUCUGUGACUGAUGGCAGACUAAGGUCAGACAGAGUGUAUCAAGCUUUUUUAAUUUGAGGAACGCACUUUCUGUUGCAAAUGGCCUCAAGCACCAGUCUCAGUCUUAUCAUGAACUACCUCUUUUAUCAGUGUCGUAUAGCGUACCUUUGGUUCCUUCAGAGAGUGGCUAGAGAUGCUUAACAGCUUUCAGUGUCAUCAUGAUUAUUCAUUUUGUCCUGGUGCUUUGUUGUUAGAGUUCUAACCUUCAUUCAUGGCAGGAGGGGGUGACACUGACACCAAAACCAAAACCAGAGCAAAGCUUUGUCCAGUUCAUCCCUUUGGAUCCCACUCUCCAGGGCUCUCCAGGCUCACACACUUGAUUCACAGUGCCACGUAGCUCUCUCUCCCCCUAACACUAGACAUGGCAGGGUGGAGGAAUCACUGUCCUUUCCUGCAUUUUCCCUGCUACUCAGGGAAGCAAAGUCCUUGCCAGCUUCCCAAUCCUUUCAUGCAACAGGCCUUAGCAGAGACAUGGGGGUGGUGUUUCUGUAGCAUGGGGAGCACUGAAUCUUAGCAGAAAUGUGUUACCAGUACUUUAAAUUAUGAUAGGUGAAAAAUGCUUCUGUCAAGCACAGAGGAUCCUUUGUUUCCAGCUCUGCUAUGAACAUCUCAGGAGUGACAAAUUCCUGUUUAAGAUUACUGCUAUGAAAAGAGUAACUUCCUAGUUAGUGAGUAUAGUGUAAAGUAAGAAAUUACAAGAUGGGGCUCACUAGUUGGGAAGAUGUUAUUUCCCCACCAGGCAGGGGAUUCAGGCUGAGAUGACAUGUUUCCUGAGAGGGAACAAGGACAAUAUUCCUAGUCCUGUUGCUUGGGUGCAUAAAAACAUACUCCAGGCUUUGGUGAACAAACAUACCACACCUAACAUUGCUUAAAUAAGAACUCUUUCUUCCUUUCAACUUUGUUUGCCUUGUGGAGUCUUGAAAUCAUCCUCCUAUGUACACCAGGAAUGUUAAUCCACAGCUUAGCUCUUCAUGAAUGGCUUCCAGAUGUCUGGUCAGGGCUAGGUGAAGGGUUUAGUAAUGAGGAGACCUAAAGAGCAGGGUCACAAGAUGCACUGUAAAAAGGCACUGUAUAUCGUACACAUUAUGUCUUCCCAUCUCAUUACUUCUCUCCCAGCCAAAGCUGUCAAAUCUUAGGCCCAUUUUUAAACACUCAUCUGUCUCCAUAUAAAAAGCAUUUGUUACUACAUCUUCUACAUUACAUCUCAAAUUCACAAAUAGCUUUAUAGAUAUCCUUGUUCUUACUGUACCACCUGUUUGAUUUUGAUCUGAACACCUACCCUGUCAAACUGUUGUCGGGGCCAUAUCUGAUAUGUGCUGAAGUAAGAAGCAUCCUUUGUUUAUUCAGUCUUACCCAGUUCUGUCCAUCUCACUUGAAGCAAGUCAUAAAACACAGGCUGAAGCAUGAAAUUGUUGUUGUAACAGGGCUGUCACAGUUUGUUUUCUCCUUCAAAAAUCCACUUUUAACUACCUCUCAUCUUUCCUUUGCUACUUAGAGCAAUGAUUUCAGAGCUAUCCUUGAUGCUUUGUGACCUGCUCUGGGUUUUUCUCUCUGCUAGUUUAAUGAACUUAUCACCUCUCCUGUGCUCAUCAUUGUUUUUCCCCACAAGAACCCUAACGUCAUUCAUAUAUUUUUACUAACAUUAUCCUUGAAGUUGAACCUUUUCUCUACUAUGACAUCUGGAAAGUAAGGCUUGAUUUUUGAACACCAGCUGGAUAACAAAAAUGCUCAAAUUAGAAAGAAAAAUGUAACUAGCAAUGUAAAACAACACUAGCAUCAUCAAAUGGAACAGAGGAAGUAAUCACAUUUCCUAUAUAAAAGAUGGUAAUACACAAGAAACAGAUGUUGUUUCUCCGUUAAAAAAAGUCCUUGCCUGACCUUGUUUUCAGAAUUCUAGAACAAAAUUUCAUUAUUUAAAUGGAGAAGGAUGGCUAAUAUGUUGUGUAUUCUUUAGAAAACAUACUGCCAGCAAAUGGACACACAAGAUCCAAGAUGAUUUGCCCUCUAGUUCUGCUAUGCAGCAUAUCAAAAUUCAAGAAUAACUCAGGCAAUACAACAGCACACAGUGGUAGAACGGGUUUUAGCCACCUGUGUUUAUAUCACUACUAAUUGCUGGGGUGAUGGUGAAUGCAUUACCUUGGGGAAGCUGGCAGAAAUUGUUCAAAUAAUCCGAUAAUUCUCCUUUCCUUGUCAAAGAACAAGGGAAAAGAAAAAUAGAAACAUACACCAGAAAAACACACUAAGAAAAUUAAUGUGUGGGAAGGCUGGUUUAUAUGUGAUAGGGUAAUUUGAUUAAGGACAGUCAAAUUUUAAUGGCCCCUCUUAAUGCCCAUUUAAGUCAAGUAGUGCAGUCCACUGACUCUCAUCAGAAUGAGCAAUAGCGAAUGCCAAAAUACUACUCAUCACUAUAUCUUCACUUUUGAGGAACUGAACUGGUUUUGAGUUAUUUAUUUAGAUCUUUUACUUUCUAGAUGAUCACACUUCUGCAUGAAAUGGCAUCUAGUGUCUUCAGUCAUAACUCAGGGCUCGAGGGAGGCAGUUUGCUAGAAAUGUGGGAAUUCUGACAGAACACAUCACUGGACAACGUGGUUUGUGGGGCCCAACGUAUCUGGUGGGAAUGGACCCAUUACACCAAAUUGUCCUUGUAUUACUGUCAGGGAACUAGUCUACUAGCUGACAUUCCAGAUUGCACAGGCAAGCUGUUUAUGGGCCCAUAUCUAUAGCCAUGGCUGCAGAGCAAUCCCAUCAGACAGACUGCUUGAAGGCCAGCGAUACCAGAGCUUUCAAGCUGUUAGGGAGAGCACCUGAAGCUGUGGGAGUGAGAGACUCAGAUAACCCCAGAGCAUGGCAGCCACAUCCCGAUCUUCACAUCUGGAACUAUUCUUGCAGGAGGACUUGGACGAAAAACUGACCUAAGACUUGCAGCUGCAGAACAAGAGCUAACAGGAACUUCUACCUCCUUUAUCUGAAGAUGAGGGAAACCCUUCUGACAAAGAAACUGGGUAUCUAAUCUUUAAACUAAAUAGCUGUUUAAAAGGCAAUCUCAGAUUCUGUAAAUCCUACUGCAUGUACCUAUCUGUGCUCUCCAAGUAGGUCUGCUGGUUUUAACAGAACUGCUCACAUACAUCAAGCUGAUCAUGCCUUGUGAGAAUGAGCCCUUUCCCAACUUCUCUGCAUCAGACGAAAGACCAGACCUCUAUGGCAGAAGAAUGUAAUGUACCAGCCAACUUACAGCUUCUUAACAUCAUAACACGAUUUUAAUUGUGCUGCCCCAAGGAUGAUGGUCCAACACCAAGCUGUCCCUGACACAUCUCCUGGAAAUAAGAAGAAAAGGGAAGAACAGAGACACAGCCAGGGUAUGAAGAGCUUGGGAGACACAGGCUGGCUGCUUCUGCUGCUGCUGAGGCUUUUGCUGGGCAGCUGGCCAGGCUCACAUUAGCCUCCUUCCUGACCUUUCCAAGCAACAAAGUACGUGGCUCACCACUGACGGUGCUAUUAACCACUGACACAUCAGAAGAGGACUACCUGAAGUAAAGCACCAUUUCAAGAAUAUUCUUUCAAAGCUUUGUGUAUGUGAGAAACCACAGACAUCUUCAUUUUGGGAAGGAAAACCAGUCAAGUCUGCAUUAGCUGGAAGAAAAAAAAAUGAAAAAGCAGUUUACCAAAUGAUGAGGCAAAGACUGGAGUUGAUUUCAACUGGAAGCAUAGACAUGGAGGCAAACCCCCAAACUGGUUUGUACAGAAGGACUCCUGCUCUCACAGAAGUUACUCUAUAGAGCAGAGAGAACAGCAUACCAAAAAGACUUGUGCACUGUCACCCAUGGUACAUUUUAGAGCAAGCCCAAGAGCACACUGAAUUCCAGGUUGCUCACAGGAGUUGGUAGCCACCAUCCCUGUUGAGUCCUGUGGGCAGCUGGAGCUCUUUUUACUCUAAGACUACCCAGCUGCACACAUCCAGUGUCAAAGCUCUCUGAUGACAGAUGAUGCUGCAGCCCUCUCAAGAAAAACUGAAGAGAAGCUGGCAAGGUCCACCCCACAGCAGGUAAGUGUCCCUUGGGGACUAUGCUAAGCAGUAGAUACACUUUGCUUCCUCCGGGAUAUGCUGGCAGUCACAUCAGACCUCAGCCCAAAGUGGUUCCUGCAGUCAGACCAUGUAGAUGAAGCAGUAGGUUAUUGUUCCUGGCCAAAGAUUAUACCUUCUGUCAUCACUUUCAUAUCCUCCUGUCAUGUCUCUCUCCUCCUACACUUGCUUAGACGUUACAUUGCCAGCUGAAGUUACCUUUAAGUUAGAAGCUACCAUGAAGUUAGAACCAUGAUUAACAUACGAGCAACACUGCCCACCUCUUUGAAACAAAUCAAGCUAGGUUUCUUCAGACAAAUGCUUUAAAAAAAAACCCACAACAUAUUAGUUUUUCUCCCCUUAAAAAAACAAACGACUCAUUGUUUCUUUUUUCCUAAAUAUAAUUUCUCAACAUUUUUGCUAUUAUUGUGUAAUACCACACUUACUGACAUAACAUCAUUUUGUAUACAAAUGUUCUACGUCAACAUAACCUGAAAGCAGCAUUUUUUAACUUCAGCAUCAAUGUUUAAAGUUAUCACAGUGUCACAUCAGCCAAGUACUGCAGAUCCAUCAAAAAUGAUAAUAUUCUGGUAUUUAGCUCUGCUUUCUUACUUUAACUACUCUCCUGUUGAAACCAUACAGUGAUAGUGGUCUAAAUAGUAACAGAAUGAAGAAAGUUGAAUAAUUUCUGAAGCGGAACAGUUUCUCAGGACAUUAAUUUAGAGGCGAUACUAAAAUUAAAGAACAAUGAGUAGGUUUCUUUUCCAAAGUUGCUUUUCCAGAGCCCUGCAAAAAAUUUAGAAAAAACAGACAAUGGGAUGAGCAUAAAGUAAUCUUUUUUCUUGAAUCAACAAAGGUGGCUAUGAGAUUAUGAAAUCAGACAAAACAGGAACAAAGUUUUCUUUCUGAUGAAAGCCACAGAAAGAACUGGUGACCCAAGAAGCACCAAAGAAAUUUAUCUAGAAAUAAACCCUAAAUAUUUUAAGGGGAAAAGAAAUCCACAAUGCAGUGGGCUUUUAUUAUUGUAAGAAUGUUGCCAAUAUUUCUGGGAAAGUAAAAUACAAUUCCAAUAUGGUACCGUUAUUUUAUGUAUGGAGUAUAGGCUUAAUAUUAACUGAUUCCAGAUGGAGCAGAACUAGAGCAAUGCUGAGUGUUUUGAGGAAAAACACUGUGGCAUUUUCCAGAGAUAGACAACAUCCUUACCAAUCUAAGGACAGCACUGACAGUCACAAAACCUGGCUGUAAUGUUCAGCUUUGCCUUUGCAGUCAAUGUGUGGCCACAGGGAAGUUAUUUAAUUUUUAUUUUUAGUUUUUUCCAGGAGUUCAUUCCAAGAAUUGGCAAGGCACCACUUGCCUCCCUUCUGGGGUUCUCAGUGAUUUGAUACUAGACCAAAGAGGUCUUACAAUAAAAUAUUUUGCAUGAUGAAUUCAGAUUUUUCUGACAAAUUAAGAAUUUAUUUCCUUCAUAAAAAAUUGUUCAUUUAUGUCUCUGCUAUAAAUUAUUACUUCCCUUCUCCUAUACAGUACAAAACUAAUUUAAGUGCCAUUAUCUUCAGUGAGAAUAGCAUUAGAAACCUGCAUAGAGAUUGCUGGCAGUAUUGUGGAAACAUUGGAAACUAGCAUGGAAACAUUCAUGGAGGGCAUAAGAAGCAGAAAGUCAGUAAUUUUAAAAGUCAUACAGUUGGUAAGCUGUGUGGUUAGUUUUGGCAGCAAGAAGUGAGAUUCUUUAAUAGACCUAAUGGAUGAUGUCAAAUUCUGUGUUUAAAUAUUUAAUGUGCUUUCACUGCCUAGGAGUAUCCUAUUGCAGGUUGUCUGGCUUUCGAGGCACAUGAAACCUGAUCAGACACUGACUGCAUAGAACAGUAGACUCUAAUAGAGCAGUCAGCGUGUGACACAGAUGUCAGCCUUCUCUCAAGGGAUCUCUCUUCAGAUAUAAUUAGUUGGUGGCGUUAUUGCUCAGAAAGAAGAGAAAGAACCCAGAUAAAAAACAUCAAGCGAUUUCAGGCUUUCCAAUAAAUGAACACACACACAGAGCUUGAAUUUAAUAGGGACUAUUCAUGUUGUGAUCGCUACCUCAGGUCCCACCUCUAACCAUCAAGAAUGCUUGAAAUGCAUGAGAAGUCUGGUGGUUUGGUUUACCAUGCAGGGGACAUAUCCCUAAGUGAUAUAAGCUGCUACUACAGUAGGAAGAUGGUCCUUUAUAUUAUCUGAAGGUCGGUAGAAUUGUUAAGAUAAUUUUCCAAUAACAUUUUAUCAUUUUCAGGGAGUUCAAUGGUUCGAAAUUUUGACAAUGCCACUUUCAAGCAUGUGAGUGGUUUUACAAGCCUUUUUGCCCUGUCUCCUGUUCUCAAGGGUGUUUAGCAAAUUUAAUAACACAAUAUACCACUUGAAAAACAAGUAUAAACCUAAUCACAUCUGCCUGCAGCAUUGGGCAGCCACAUCUCUCCUAUCUCAUCGUUUUCUCUGAAAUUAGCCUGGAGACAUAGGAAAACUAAAUACCUAGUAUGAUUAUUAAAACAAUAAAUCCUCUCCUUACAAAACCCACCAGUAUUUCAGACUCAGAUGUGCUGAUCAGUAGAAGAAAACUCAUCUUACACCAUGCUGAGACUCUGAUAGAAAUCAAACUAUCCCUGACUUCAGCUUCAUUGAUUUUUGCUUUGCUAUCAAAGGACUCAGUAUUGUUAGCACAUGUACGUCUGAUUAAUAGACAAAAGUAGUCUGCCUGGUGCAGAGUAUCAGUAGGAAUACAGCUGUCACAAAGGGGAAUUUUCUUAAGGAUAGACUAUCAAAAAGCCUGUAACCAUCAUAGUUUUCAUUUAUUCCCUUCUCCUUAAAGGCUUUAGUGUGUUUACAUGCAAUGUUUUGUCUGAUGGCUUGGCUAUAAAAGUUGCUCACAGUAAUGUAUACCUACCUUAAAAAAUUACAGGCACAUUAAAGGUGCUGAGCUCCAGUUAUUGCUUUCUGAAAGCUUCCUCUGCUCUACUGUAGUUGUAGAAAGAAGUCUUUCCAUAAAUGAGAACCGACCUCAUUGCUUUGACAAACUGCAGCAGCAUUUCAAGAGCAAUCAGUGCUCUCUAUUGAAAAAAAAGUAAUAACACAGUGCUCUGGAGGACUGAUAAUGGCAUCAGUGAGAAGAAAUAGGUAAAAUUAUCUGCUGGUCUAAACUGAUGUGGUCUUAUCGAACAAAGGCUAUUUUAUAAAAGGUAAACUUAUUUUCUGUGUAUCACAGUAUUGCCUCUUCUGUACUGGCUGCCUGGAAUGAAAAUCAAGGAAAGCAGCCAAAUAAAACUGCAGGCAGCCUCGGGCUCCAUAAGUCCAUUUUCUCUCCUUCUGUACCAGCAUAUUAUCUGUACCAUAAUAUUUUUGCUUAUUUAUCUUGCAAGAACUUUGCAAAAGGAACUGGACUUGUCGUGGUUCACACCUCUAGUACAAGCUUCUGGAUGUAUCUGAUCGCAGGCUCCUGCCUUGCAUCCGGCAAGUUAAACCAAGUAUCUACACAGCCCAAAGUACAUCUGCACAAUGGUGGGUGUGCUCGCAGCCUCACCAACCUUGGCUGCAAUGUUUCAGGUCACUGGUUCUUCCUGUAUCAUUUCAGAACCAUAACAAUAGGUUCUUGGCAAAUUCAGAAAUUUCACAAGUCUAAUUCAGAGUAUAAUCUGCCCUCUCCCCCUGGCACAAGAGUAAAACAGAAAGGAAGAGUGAUAAUAUUUUUGAAAGCAAUAAAAAUGCACUUUUA